UCUGCCUGGUAGUGGGGGACGAACGUUUCGAAAGGAACGCUAAUACCGCAUACGUCCUACGGGAGAAAGCAGGGACCUUCGGGCCUUGCGCUAUCAGAUGAGCCUAGGUCGGAUUAGCUAGUUGGUGAGGUAAUGGCUCACCAAGGCGACGAUCCGUAACUGGUCUGAGAGGAUGAUCAGUCACACUGGAACUGAGACACGGUCCAGACUCCUACGGGAGGCAGCAGAA
rnacentral:rRNA from 1 species